rnacentral:lncRNA from 1 species
UGAGCUAUACGUAGAGGAGGAGCUCGAGUGGUGUGGAGUGUCGUCGACGUCGCGCCGCGGUGCCGUUCGAGAGUAUAUUCGUCGUCGUAGCAUCGCGAGGAGGCCGGCGAGGGUUCGAUUCCGUCGUUUUCGAUUUCGCGCCGGAUUGUGAUUUGCGUUUGAGGUGGGUUUAUCAUCGGAUUUCUUCUUCUAUAGCUUUAUUAGUCGACAUGUAUCGUUGGUGUUGCACGUUACUAUUGUUUAGUUCAAAUCCAUGGGUAUGCAUGUUUUAGACAUAUAAACUGAAUUUGAAGCAUGUUAUUAGUUAUUAUUAAUUAUACAUAUUGGAUUUGGAUUUGACAUAAGAGAAAACUAGCGUUCGGGACCUAUCAUAUGUUAAACUACCUGAUUUAGCCUUAGAGGCCGUUGUAUUUUUAUACUGUCGCAGUAUCCUUGUGGUGAGUACCCCAGAUAGUUUAGUUUACUGUUACGCUCGUGCUAGGAUGCUAAGCCUAUUUUUACAGUAGUGUUUACACUGCUCUGGACUAGUGAGUGCUGUAGUGGUUGACGGCGGACCCGAAUUUAAUUGUUUUGAUAUCAGAUUAUGCCGAGGGCACGUGACUAGUGGUUGAUAGUUCAGCAAGAUCCUAUUUACUUGACAUGAGCCUGUGAGAGCCAGAAUGAAAUGACAGAGACAGUAACUCGUGGGUCGCACCCGCGAAUGCCAUUCUGGAAUGAGGUUUCAGUGCGAUAAGUGUCGCAGUUUCUGUUGGAUAGUUCUUGAGCCAGCCACCCCCGGGGCGGUGUACGGCGUAGUGAGAUACAGGCAGGGUAGGCCCGUUUGGGCAGCUCGGGUGAUAGUGAGUGACUUUUACUUGGUUAGUGUAGAGCAUGCUAGUGUAGCAAUAUGUAGUUGUAGAUUGCUUUCCAGCUUUUUCCUACUAGCUCUGUUUCUUUCAGUAGACUUAGUUAGUGGACCGGUGAUGUUGAGGGCGAUACCCACUGAGAACUACUUGUUUUUACAGUAGUUCUCACGCCCAGUUAUUACCAUUGUUUUGCAGAGCCAUCGUCUUUGGCUGCUGCUGGUGUUGCCGAUUCUGAUCGUAGCAAGAGCGUCGCGAGUUAGAGCACUACCAGACGAGUCGUUGUGAUAGAGGAGCACUUGCUGCAGGUAGUUGUACUUUUAUUAUUUUUGAGUUCAUGUACGUACUGAUGUAUAACUCGCUGGAGCGAGUACUUUUGUACAGAGUUUUCUUGUAUGUAUAUGAGACUUACUUUGUUCUACCUAUUUAUUUUCUUUACAGCUCUAUACUACUGGUUGUAGUAUUGUAUGUAUUACUGUUCCAGCUACGCUUCGUAUACAGGAUAAAUUCUUUGUAUACGGCGGAUUUGUCGACGUGCCCGGGGAACGUGCUAAUCCGGGGCGUGACAAUAUGGGUGUGUAAUAAUACAUUUUAUUAUUACCUUGUUCAAAAGUAUAUAUAUAAAUAACUUAGUUAAUUUGCGAAUUAUUCGAAAACUCUUAAAAAUCCGAAUAAAACAGUCCGUAUGCGAUUUAUUCCUAAAAAUUUGGAAUAAAACAUGAAUUUUUUGGUUUAAAUUUAUUAUUCACAAAUAAUUCGUAUAUGCCGAACUAUUCGGCCAAAAAACACGCAAAAUUUUUAGAUAAAAUCCCUUCUCGAAUUAUUGUCGAAUUAUUUAUGAAUUAUUCGCGAAUUAUUGAAAAACUUUAU